rnacentral:siRNA from 1 species
UGCGUUGCACUACUGCAUGGG